CCAGGCCCACAGAUCGCAUGGGACCUUUCCCUUCUCUAGGGCCCAAGGGGAUCUUGCUUUGCGGCAACCGCACCCUCCUCCCGUCGUCUUCGCGAGCGAGAGACCAAAGGGAGAUUAUUACCCCUCAAAAAAGAGAGAGAGAGAGAGACCAAAGGGAGACAGGAUGCGGCUCUCCUUCCCCCUCGUCGCCGGCGCCGUCGUCCCGACGCCCGUUGAGCAGGUUCCUCCGGUGCUGGAUCACUCCGGGUCUCGACCUGGUUGUUUCCCAGCGCCUGCGUGUAGUAGCGCCGAAGGUUGUGGGUGCCUUCAGAGUCCUGAUUAGAAUUGGAGUGAUUUCUGGGAAUGUUAUAUUUGGGCCUCCGCUUCAGAAG